rnacentral:lncRNA from 1 species
AUGUCCUUUCAGCCGUGUCACAACUUAUCUGGAGCCCUUCCUAUGCCUACCCCAACCGUUAUGCUGUCAUCAGAGGCACCUGGAGGUUUCUGGGGUACUUGGCAGAGUGAUCCCGCAGUGACCGGUCACAGGAAAGACAUCAAGACUCAACAAGAAUUAUGGAUGGAACAAGUUAAGAUCUGUGUGUGGAGGCAGCCAGAAGCCCGGGCAUUAUGCACACGAGGGAAGAUCACCCGUACAGCACAGAGCUGCAGUUUGGCAGGGGAGGAAAGCAGUAACAAAGCAGACUGUACCAGGGAAGCUUUUGCAUUGUGGGGGAAGGCACAGGCAAUUGGAUUUAACCAUCUGGGUGGAAUUUGACUGGAUUAGCUUUGGCACAGUUUCACAUAGUCUUAAUUCAUCAGUGAAUGGAGUAACUAUAUUGGAAAACUACUGGAGAAAAACAACAUUGCCCCUGAUGCUACUGUCAUAGGCAGAUAAAGCACAAUCCCAUACAGUGUCUCUCUCUGUUUUUCUCUCUUCAUUGUCUCUCUAGCUAUUUUUUUCUUUUUUGUGCCAGUGUGUGUCUUCCCAUAUCAGGAUUGGCUGCCUUUUCUUGGUCUGAGAUCUUGGCAUGUAAAGAGCUAUAAUUACCCAAUGGUAUGGCAUGGUGACUACUAGCAAGGGUGGGACUGCCUCCUCUUGAACAAUAAAACCCCUUGUAUAGCAAAGCCUAACUAAACA